UUUUAGAGAUUUACAUACAAUAAACAAAAAGCGAGUAAAAUAAUAAUAUUUUUUUCUAUUUUUUUUAGAAUACUAUAUAAACAUAUGCAUGUUUCUUUGGCAAGAGGAAGGAGCGUGUUUUCUUUCUUAACAACAUAUCCUGGAGAACUGGUAUAAAAUAUCCAGGACUGCUUGAAAUCUCUGCCAUAAUGGGCUCUAAUUUUUCAUAAGUAACUACUAAAUUCUGACAAGCAGCCCCUAGGUUCCAUGGCAGCAUUAAUUAAUUAUCAUAAAAUAUCCUUGAUCUCCUCUUUCCCAAAUACAAUAUCAUCAUCAGGAGGUAUGUCCUAUCUAUUUGUAGUAGUGUAGCUGGGUUAAAGUGGCUUCAAGCAUGUACCAAGAAUCACAUAUAUGACAGACCAGUACUGUGGCCAGUUAAAAUAUCCAGUUUUGGGGAUCUGGCAUAUGGGUUGUUUGUAGAUGAUAGAAAGAAAGAAACAAACAAACAAACCGCACUUUAUCAGGAGAAGCAGCAUGUUAAUUUAACCUGGCUCUGCAGUGUCUGUAUAGUUCAGGCACUUCAGCGGGGCUUUUUGGUGAUUCAAUCAGCUAUUAGAUAAAAGCACCAAAAAAGCCCUCCUAAAGUGCCUCUGACCUGUACAGAUGUUGGGCGAGCUGGGUCCAACUAACAUGCUGCCACUUUUGGGCACGUGUUAAGCUCAGAGUGCUCCUGUGCCAAGCUUAAAGUAAAGCGCCGUGUGUGUGUGUGUGUGUGUGUGUAUUUUAACAUCUGCAAGCAGCCAUGUUGAACAGAAGCAAGUGGUAUAUUCUGUUGGGUACUGUUUAAUUGUUUUAUUAUUUUAUCUGUUUUUACUGUAAGCUGUUUUCAGCCUUUGUGGGGAAAGCAACAUAAAUCAAAUCAAUACAUAAAAUACUUCCCCAUCACUACCUAGUCUGAGGGAGGGAAAACUGAGACCAACUUUGGAAACACUAGGCUUCAGUAAGUAUUGUAAUAGCUCUGGGAGUUUGGCAAAUUGGGGAGAACUACUGAGAGAACCUGUGUGCAUCAGAGAGAAUGGAAUGGUGAAGUCACUAAAACAAGUGCUGUUUCUUUAUGCAUCUUAAAAUUUCUAAGAAAAGGAUGAUUUGGAAUAUCAAUAGGGUAUUUUAGAAGAUUUCUUACCUCAUGCUGCAGAAGCUCUUCAGUGAAAUUAAAUGGAACAUUACUAUUACAUGUUUAGUGAUAAAUAUCUUUGAAGUUUCUCUUUUUAUAUCCCAGGGCACUAUUUUUAUUUAUUUAUUUUUACUUGCCUGUCAAAAUGAUCUAUGUAAUACUUGGAUAUGGGGGCAAUUUUGUUUCCAUUUCUCCCCUCAAAACCAUUUUAUAGUUCUUGUUACCUCUUGGGGUUCUCUUUUAUAGCUAUUGUGCUUACUCUGUCUUCUGUGCCAGUUUCUUUACUUCUUUAUGACAACCCUGUGCUACUUCAUUUGUUGUGAUCUACUACAGCAUUGUUCUUUCCAUCCUGUGGUGCACAGAGAAUGAAAUGAAGCAACAGGGCAGCACAGUAAAAGCAAGGGAAGGAAGAAAAUAAGCAUUUGUUGUCAUGCAAACAAAGUGGAUAGGUUUGUAGAACAUAAAGGAAGACUAACAAGCAAUCCAGGUAGACUGCUAACAUGAAAAAGAACAGGGUGGCCAGUUUGCAGCAGGAGUCUCACAAGUGGCAUGGGCAGCCUCUGUGUCAUACAAUAGAUCAGGGGGGGACUAGCAGCACAGUAGCAAAUUGGGCAGGAAGCAGAAGGCAAAGUAUGUAAUCAGGCAAGGACCAGGGGGAAAAAAGCAGAGCAGGAGAUUGGUCAGGGAUCACAGAGCAGGUAACAGAAAGCACAGCAGUAGAUCAGGCAGAGGAAGUGGAUCAGAGUGGCACCUGGGGAGGGUGCAGGACUAAAUUGUGGCAUGCCUAUCAAAAAGGUUAGCCUCCAGUGAAAUGGUGUAAUGAGUAAACAAGAAGGAAGGAAAGAACAUUGAGACACUAACAAAAGGGAACAUGAGACCUGCAGCAAGAAACAUCAUCCAAGGAUGGUGAUAGAUUGUGAGAAUUGAAAAAAGAAGAGCCCUAGAAAGGACAGAGAAUACAAAAUGGAUAGGGGAUUCUUCCCAUUGAAAGAAGAAAACUGGUAACUUUUUAAUGAAAAAUGUUUGAGCGAGAGAAAUAGAUAAACAACCAGUCCUUGUUGAAAAAAUGCAAAGCACUGCUGUGUAAUCUGAAAAUCAGAUAAAAUUAUUUUAAUGGAACUAAACUGUACAGAUUAUUUCAUAAUUUUAAAAUAUUUGACACUUCUGUAUGGUUUGCAGUUAUAGGAGUUCUUCUGGGUUUCUUUUCCUUAUUAAAAACCUCUAGUCUAUCAUGAAGAGGUUUUUAAUAGUUUUCUUCAAAAUAGUUUGACACCUUUUCUGUAGGCCAUUCAGCUGGACUACUCAUAUGCUCAACUAAAGAGCUUCUUGAUAAGUCUACAGCAGUGAUUCUCAACUGGGGGUGCUAAGAGAUAUCUUUUAAAGGUGCCUCCCCACUGUGCCUCUUUCGGAAAUGCUGUGUGGGGUUAGACUGGAAAGCCCAGCCUGACAGGAGGGGCUACCAUGAGGCUGCUGUUGCUGUCCUGCCUGAGAGCCCAGAGAGGCAAUGGAACCACUGUAGAUGAGAUAAUGGGAAAAGAAGGGGCUCACCUUGCCUGCAUCAACAGAAAGUACCACUACAUUCAGAAAAAUUAUGGAGGAGUGUCUUGAGUCUAAACAAACUGAGAAACACUGGUCUACAGAGUGCAAAGCAGCCAUUCUCUAGCUCUGGAACCAGAUGGGGCAGAUGCUGGAAAAAUGGUGGAAGAUGAUGAUGUAUAAUUCACUGUGACAUUUUCAAACACGCUAAAAUACCGGCCUGUAUUUACAAGAGCCGAGUUAUCACAAAAGUGCUGCUGUGUCAA